rnacentral:rRNA from 1 species
UACGUAGGGGGCAAGCGUUGUCCGGAAUCAUUGGGCGUAAAGAGCGUGUAGGCGGUCCGGUCAGUCGGUUGUGAAAGUCAAGGGCUCAACCCUUGAAUGCCGGCCGAUACUGCCGGGCUAGAGUCCGGAAGAGGUGAGUGGAAUUCCUGGUGUAGCGGUGAAAUGCGUAGAUAUCUGGAGGAACACCGGUGGCGAAGGCGGCAUCCUGGACCGGUAUUGACGCUGAGGCGCGAAAGCCAGGGGAGCAAACGGG